rnacentral:lncRNA from 1 species
CUGUUGCUCAUCUACAGUGUUUGCAGCUUUUUGCCCACCCUCUUCCUACUCUUGAAGGAGGAGCCAGAGGCUUCUGUGAGGUACUGGGGCUGGAGUCGAGAACUGCAGAUGGAAGCGGGAGAGAAGAAAGAGGCUCCCACCUGGCUUCUCACCCACGACCUACUGCUGGGUGGGAGGAGAAGGUGAUGGCACCAGGGGUUGACAAGGUGUUCAAUCCAGGGCAACUGGACUCUCUCUCCCUGGAAUGGGGUUUAGGACUCUGAGAAACAGUAGCUACGAAGCAGCUACGCCAUAAGCUCACAGAGAGUUGAGGCCAUUUGGAGCCAUGAGUGACCAUGUGGAAGCAGAAGCAGCUAGUCUUCAGAGAGAAAGCCCAGCUGCACAGAGAGAAGUGGUGAUAAGGAACUGUGCUGCCCCUGGAAGGAGUGAUGCAGGUGAGAGGCAGCCUGUCUCUCCCACAUUUUACCCUCUCCUUGGAUGUUUACCAGAUUGUCUGUUAUAACCUUCCAAUAAACCUCCUUUUCCUUGAGCUGGCUUGAGAGGGUUUCUGUUCCUUGCAACCACAUGGCCUUGAACUAAGACAUGAACAACACAUCUUAAGCAUAAAGUUCCUGGUGCAGUGCUUAACUCAUCAUUGGCAACUAAAAACUGUAGCUAUUAUUAUUUCAUUUGCUCCUCAAAGAAACCUGAUGAGAAAAAAAGGUAUUAUUAUACCCAUUGGGAAAAUGAGAAAACUGGGGCUUGUUGACAUAGCAGCAAAUACUGGCUAAAUUCCAGUGCUGGGGAUUCAGGAGAGACAAGGUCCCAGCUUUGAAGAUGCCUGCAUUCCUAUGCAGCAGGCAGACAACAAACAAAUUUAGGUUGAGCAUCACAAAUUCAAAAAUCUGCAAUCCAAAAUGCUGCAAAAUCCAAAACUUUUUGAGCACAGACAUGGUGUUCAAAGGAAAUGCUCAAUGGAGCAUUUUGGAUUUUCAAUUUCUGGAUUUGGAAUUCUGAACCAGCAAAAUGCAAAUAUUCCAAAAUCCAUACAAAUCUGAAAUCAGGAACACUU